UACGUAGGGUGCAAGCGUUAAUCGGAAUUACUGGGCGUAAAGCGUGCGCAGGCGGUGAUGUAAGACAGGUGUGAAAUCCCCGGGCUUAACCUGGGAACUGCAUUUGUGACUGCAUCGCUGGAGUGCGGCAGAGGGGGAUGGAAUUCCGCGUGUAGCAGUGAAAUGCGUAGAUAUGCGGAGGAACACCGAUGGCGAAGGCAAUCCCCUGGGCCUGCACUGACGCUCAGGCACGAAAGCGUGGGGAGCAAACAGG
rnacentral:rRNA from 1 species